rnacentral:rRNA from 1 species
GGGUGACCUGCGGAAGGAUCAUUGUCGAA